GUCUGUCACUCCUACCAUGGUCCCCCUCACACAGAAUCAUAACAAGGAUCCCAAGAUAGCAGGGCCCAAAGACAGCUGUGAAGUCAGCUCCUAGCCCCAGAUGUCUUAAAGUGACCAUCCUCCGCAGAGGGAAGAGGUAGUUGGAGACGAUGAUGUGGUGGUGAUCUGAGAGAUGAAGACUGGCGUAAACUAGUGCGCACUCACAGAAGGAAGUGAGCACCCCUCAGAAGGGGCUCUGCUGAGGCGCUGCAGACUCCUGGUCACAGGCAGCCCAGGGCUGGGGUCGGAUUAAGAGUCAGUGCAGUGUGGUGUAGACAGCCCGGUGGGGCUCCCUAGGAAGACAGCACAACUACAGAAGUUUCAAUUGCUAACAAGCUUUGCUAAGAGGAGGUUACCUGAAUUCUAAUCCCUACAUUUAGAACAAGCUCCUUGGCCCCCGGGAAAGCACAGGCUUCCACACCGUGGCUGUCUGGACACAGUAGCUGUUGCACCUUGGUUUUGGUUAGACAAGGCUCAGCUCCACAACAGCACUCAAGGAAAUCACAGCCAGCCUAGGACACUCCCCUGUCACCUCGGGCACAGCCGGUGGUGCCUGGGUGCCUGGGACAACCCACAACAAACCAGGCUGCAGCUGUGCCCUACCCAAGCAUGACAUCGAUGUUCUGCGGAAACUUCUGGCACCCGUGAGGCUGACAACUAAAAGGAGAUGUCAUCUCUAUUACUCCGGAAAGCAAACAGAUCUCUGCUCUUUGUCCUGAAGGGAGACUCGGAGUCUCUAAGGAUACCUGCCACAGACAGAGAGUUGGGAACAAAACCUACCAGCUACAGCGUCCGUGUCUGAGCCCACGAGAGGAACAGAGCCGUAGGGACGUGUGCGGAGCGUCUUCAGCAGCCUCCCAAACGUGGGUGCUGUAAGUGUGUCGUUCUAGGGCAGUGAGGGGCGGAGUUAAGAGCGGAGUAACGGCAAGAGCUGCCCAGGGCUCAGAUUUAAGAUGCCAUAAAUGUAAAUGGAAGCUACCUAGGAGACAAAAUUAGUUAGGGCUUGUUAAUCUAAAUCAGAGGCCCACAAGUCAUUUUGUACAUGAAGGGUCAGGCCACAUCGGAAAGUGUGAUCGAUAUUGGCAAUUGUGGAUAGCGAUGACAAAUGACUGGGUAUUUCCGUGUUUCAAUAACACGUCAUGUACGGGCCAGUGGAGAAGGCUCAGCAGUUAAGAGCACUUGCUCUUCCAGAGGACUGGAGUUCGAUUCUCAGCACCCACAGAGAGGCUCACAACCGUCUGUUAACUCCAGUUCCAGGAAAUCUGAUGCCCUCCUCCAGUCUCUAUGGUGUACAGGCAUGCACGGGACGGAACACUCAUGCACAUAAAGUAAAAAAAAAUAAUAUCUCAAAAGAUAAAACAAGAGCUGCGCACAAACACAGCCCCACACCCUGUACUUUUAUGACGCAAGGCCUGGACCAAGCCCACAUUUUCUUUUUGUCUGGCGAGGUGGAAGGGAAGGGUAACAGUCUCCAGGAGGUACAGCCGGUGGUGGCUGUGGCGGUGGCUGCAGUUUUUCCACUGUGAUGCUCAAGGCAAGGCUGCUGUCCCGCGGACUGAGGGAUCCAAGCGCAUGCAUGGGAGCUGAAGCCAGAGGGUUCCAAGCGCAUGCGUGGAAGCUGAAGCCAGAGGGUUCCAAGCGCACGCGUGGAAGCUUAUGCCAUAGCAGUGAAUUUGAUUGCUGAAUGACAGCAGGGGACAUCUGGAGUGAAGCAGGCUGAGGACACAACUCCAGCUCCAGAGCGGAAGGACCACUAUCGAGAGGGCAGGAUGAGUUACUCUGCCUCGAGCUGGCCACUUUGUCAGGCAGAGCAAGCCGAUUUCUCUGGGCUCCAGCAUCGAUCUACAUUUUCAGGAAAACAAGUCUACAUACUUCCAUCUGAAGCGUCUGCGCUCAGGCUAUUAUAUGUUCCACUGGAAGGCGUAUUGACUCAGCCUUUUGAACACUCAUUACGGAAAUAGGCAGUGUGAAAUCACAGCUGGCUUCGGCACUGUAUUCCACUCCACAUUUGCUUAUGUAAAUAACGGCAAGCAACGGAUAACACGGUUGCACCUUUAGAAGCAUUACUGCAUCAUGGCGAUGAAACGACCGGCUUUCAUCCAGCCCUACUAAUACUUCCCACGAGAGCCAUCAAUCAAUCACACGCACUCAUGGGUAGGAGCAGAAUGUGCCACCGUGGAACUCAGGAGGACAACGUCUGGGAAUAAAUUAUCUCCUGUCCUGUAGGUCCUGGGAGCCAAACUCGAGCCUUAAGGCUCUGUGGCAAGAGCCCCACCUGAUGGGCCAUCUUGCCAGGCCUGGUUCUCCUCGGAGCAUCUGGUCUUCACGUUCUAGAUGAAGAGUGGCGUGAGCUGUGUGUGGACUCCGUAUGUGGGGAGGACAGCUCAGUGGGUAAGGGCACUAACCACCCUUCCAGAGAACCUGUUUGGAUCCCGACAGCUCACAACCGCCUCAUCUCCAGGGGAGGUGCCCACGGUGAUCCUACCAAGCUGGGUCUGUGUGUAUCACCUUAGGGAUGAGUCCACAGCGAAGUCUCCAGGGAGUAUCCCCAACAACUUAGGUUUCCACGGCCCAUCUGGUGUCUCGUUCUAACCAUAAUGAGGCUAGCAGAUUAUGUUAUUUUUGGUUUAUUACUGAAUGGAAAUCUGGACCCCCUUCUCAUGGGUCCCCUACUUGAUCCUGCUGCGUCUUUGUACCCAGGGAAUGCUCAGGCAUUUGGACAAUGGAGCAGUUAUUUACAGUUUUAAUCCUCUUUGCAAUGUUGUUAGUCACUAGUCCUCUAUGUGAGGCCGUCUCAGCGCUCCAUGCUUAUUCUUAAUUACAGCCCGGGGAUGCAGAAGUAACAAAGUGUGCUGCUAUUGUCAUUCACUGUGUGAUGUUGGCUCAACCUUGUAAGAAGUGUGGAACCCAAAACUGUAAGCUAUAGACGUUUGUGGGCUAUCAGGCAAUGAAAUGGAGGUUAAAAAAUCUAAACUGGGCAGUGGUGAUGCACAUCUUUAAUCCCAGCACUCAGGAGGCAGAGGCAGGAGGAUCUCUGUGAGUAUGAGGUCAGCCUGGUGUACAGGGCAAGCUUCAGGGCAGCCAGGGCUACACAGAGAAACCCUGUCUACAACAAGCCAGUCCUGGUGGUGCACUCCAAUCCCAGUGCUCAGGAGGCAGAGGCAGGAGAAUCUCUGUCAUCUUGAGAUUGGCCUGGGCUACAUAGUGAGAUCAUGUUUAAAAGACAAAACAAAACACACAAACUAAAAACUAGGAAACUAAUCAGAGCCAAGGAUAUAAUAAUGGAGUUGACAAGUACUUGACUAGCAUGUGUGAAGGUCUAAGUUCAGUCCUUAGCAUUCAAAAAUCAACUAAUAAUGAAAACUGGACAAUCUCUGAGAUAGAAUUGCAUCAGAUAAUGUUGUAACUACUAAAAGAAUGAACUUGUUAACAAGCGAAUUGGCUAUAAAAUGUUGUAAAAGAAGGGGUUCUUCAAGAGCCAUUUCCCCCCUAACUUUUUAAAUCCCAGUUCUCUGUCCCUUCCUUCCUCCCGCUCCCCCUACCGCAUGCCUAUGGGCUCCUCGGUGAGGGCAAGGCCUCCUGUGGGGUCAAUGUAGUCUGUGCCAUCACCACAUUAAGGCAGCACCAACUACCCCUACUCCCCGUGUCUAGGCUGUGCAAGGUGUCUCUCCAAGGAAAUGGGCUCCAAAACGCCAGUUAAAACACUAGGGAUAGAUCCUGGUCCCAUUGCCAGUGGCCCCACAAACUGCCCAAGCCACACCCUUGUCAUCUGCAUCGGGGCCCCCCGCAUUGGUGGUAUAGUGGUGAGUAUCACUGCUUUCAAGAGUUAUUUUUCUAAACGUGAGACCGAACUACCUGGGGAAAAUCAGCUGCUACCCAAUUGAAAAAUGCUGUAUAUCUCUGCUUGCAGGAUUUCUUCUGAAACAAACCUGUUAGUCUCCUCAGGUGGCAAAUAUAUUUAGAAAUAUCUAGCCAGCAAAAUCCCCCUGAAUUUAUAGAUUACCUUGUUUCCAAGGAUAAUACCUGAGUAAAGUCGUCAGUUGUCAUGGCUACUGCCAUCACUCACUCAGCAAUGGUCAGAUGUGUGGGGCGGUCAUCCACACUUAGGACAGGGUGCUCACCAACAGCCAGGAAAUGCGGCUUUCUGGGAUACAUGAAACAGCUUUCCUGGUGAGCAAGCGACAUCAUGCCCACAGGACCUCUGACCACUUUCUGUGGUCUUUGUAGGAUGUGUCUCACCCCUAACCACAGCUAAAAGAAAUUGGGGUUAGCUGGCCGGCUGUCCUGGCUAAGAAGGGUGACUGCUUUUAGAGCCAGGAAAAUUCUCAUGAAAAUAAGAUGCUCUUAAAAGAUAACAUGCUUUGUAGACCAGGCUGGCCUAGAACUCACAGGGUUCCUCCUGCCUCUGUCUCCUGAGUGCUGGGAUUAAA